rnacentral:rRNA from 1 species
GACAGAGGAUGCAAGCGUUAUCCGGAAUGAUUGGGCGUAAAGCGUCUGUAGGUGGCUUUUAAGUCCGCCGUCAAAUCCCAGGGCUCAACCCUGGACAGGCGGUGGAAACUACCAAGCUGGAGUACGGUAGGGGCAGGAGGGAAUUCCGGUGGAGCGUGAAUGCGUAGAGAUCGGAAAGAACACCAACGGCGAAAGCACUCUGCUGGGCCGACACUGACACUGAGAGACGAAAGCUAGGGAGCGAAUGG